rnacentral:tRNA from 1 species
UGGGAUAUGGCUCAAUGGUAGGGCACUUGCCUAGCAUGUAGGGUGCUCUGGGUUCCAUCCCUAGCACCACAA